UGAGGAAUAUUGGUUAAUGGCCGGAAGGCUGAACCAGCCAAGUCGCGUGAAGGACGACUGCCCUAUGGGUUGUAAACUUCUUUUGUUUGGGAAGAAUAAGGAUUACGAGUAAUCCCAUGCCAGUACCGAACGAAUAAGGAUCGGCUAACUCCGUGCCAGCAGCCGCGGUAAUACGGAGGAUCCGAGCGUUAUCCGGAUUUAUUGGGUUUAAAGGGUGCGCAGACGGUUUGUUAAGUUAGUGGUUAAAUCUACGGGCUCCACCCGUACACGCCAUUAAAACUGGCAGUCUAGAGUGUAAAUGAGGUAGGCGGAAUAAGUUAAGUAGCGGUGAAAUGCUUAGAUAUAACGUAGAACUCCGAUAGCGAAGGCAGCUUACCAAGCUACAACUGACGUUCAGGCACGAAAGCAUGGGUAGCGAACAGGAUUAGAUACCCUGGUAGUCCAUGCCGUAAACGAUGCUUACUGGCUUUCGGCGAUAUGACAGUCGGAGGCUUGGAGAAAUUCUUAAGUAAGCCACCUGGGGAGUACGUCGGCAACGAUGAAACUCAAAGGAAUUGACGGGGGCCCGCACAAGCGGAGGAACAUGUGGUUUAAUUCGAUGAUACGCGAGGAACCUUACCCGGGUUUAAAUGUAGAUUGCAUGACUUGGAAACAGGUCUUCUCUUCGGAGCUAUUUACAAGGUGCUGCAUGGUUGUCGUCAGCUCGUGCCGUGAGGUGUCGGGUUAAGUCCCAUAGCGAGCGCAACCCUUAUCUUUAGUUGCCAUCAGGUGAUGCUGGGGACUUUAAAGAGACKGCCGCCGUAAGGUGAGAGGAAGGUGGGGAUGACGUCAAAUCAGCACGGCCCUACAUCCGGGGGUACACACGUGUUACAAUGGCCGGUACAGAGGGUCGCCACAUAGCAAUAUGGUGGUAAUUUUGAAAACCGGUCCCAGUCCGGAUUGGAGUUUGUAACCCGACUCCAAGAAGUUGGAUUUGGUAGUAAUCACGCAUCAGCCAAGACGCGGAGAAUACGUUCCCGGGCCUUGUACACGCCGCCCGUCAAGCCAUGGGAGCCGGGAGUACCUGAAGUACG
rnacentral:rRNA from 1 species